rnacentral:rRNA from 1 species
UACGUAGGGGGCGAGCGUUGUCCGGAAUCAUUGGGCGUAAAGCGCGUGUAGGCGGCCCGGUAAGUCCGCUGUGAAAGUCCAGGGCUCAACCCUGGGAUGCCGGUGGAUACUGUCGGGCUCGAGUCCGGAAGAGGCGAGUGGAAUUCCUGGUGUAGCGGUGAAAUGCGUAGAUAUCGUAAGGAAGACCAGUGGCGAAGGCAGGUCUCUGGACAGUUCCUGACGCUGAGGCACGAAGGUCGGGGGAGCAAACGGG